ensembl:lincRNA 2810030D12Rik RIKEN cDNA 2810030D12 gene
UCGGAGAUGGGAGCGCCUAGGGACCCGAACCGAGUGCACCUGCUGCAGCCUGGCACUAGGGAUUUGAAAAUCCAUGGAGAUGGAAACCUAUGCCGAGGUUAGAAGACCUGGAUCCACUUUGCAGGAUUUUAAAUAUCCUUCAAGCCUCAGUGCCUGGCAGACUGGACUUUGGACUUCGGACUUCCAGCUCCGAUGCUGAAAAAGGAGGGUUUUUUUGUUUGUUUGUUUUUCCACUUUGCUUCCUUGCUUGUCGAGGCUGAGAACAUACGGUGUUUUUGAGGGCCACCAUCAAAGGGUACUCGCUUCUCCAAACCUUGGAACCCGAGGUCUAGCCUUGGAAAGAGUUGCCGCCUUACCAUCUCUCCUCGCCUAGGGAAGCCCCAGCUGUGUGCGCUACUGCAGGGUCACAGUGCCGCGGUGCCGAGCUUCUUUCGUGGUCCCUGUCGCCGUCCGUUUCUUGAGAUUUCAGACUCUGGGCUUGGAAACCAGUUGACUGCCUUUCUUAGCGAGGUGCCCUCGGAAACCUGUGGAGGAAUGUUUGGAUUAUGAAUGCUCACCGUGCCGAGUCCUCGAAGCUAUGUGACAGAGGUGGAGCACCUGGAAUGCAUAGAGAACCAGGUUCCCUUUGGAAAAUAUUCACUCGCUUCCACCAGCCCAAACCCGAAGGUACCAUCAGUACGUGAGGCCUACAACAGGGUUCUCUGUUUUCCUGUAGCCAGCCUCUCUGAUGCUCCCAACAAUGUAUUUGAAAAGCA